rnacentral:rRNA from 1 species
AAUAGAUACCCGGGUAGUCCACGCCGUAAACGAUGAGUGCUAAGUGUUAGAGGGUUUCCGCCCUUUAGUGCUGCAGCAAACGCAUUAAGCACUCCGCCUGGGGAGUACGGUCGCAAGACUGAAACUCAAAGGAAUUGACGGGGGCCCGCACAAGCGGUGGAGCAUGUGGUUUAAUUCGAAGCAACGCGAAGAACCUUACCAGGUCUUGACAUCCUCUGACAACCCUAGAGAUAGGGCUUCCCCUUCGGGGGCAGAGUGACAGGUGGUGCAUGGUUGUCGUCAGCUCGUGUCGUGAGAUGUUGGGUUAAGUCCCGCAACGAGCGCAACCCUUGAUCUUAGUUGCCAGCAUUCAGUUGGGCACUCUAAGGUGACUGCCGGUGACAAACCGGAGGAAGGUGGGGAUGACGUCAAAUCAUCAUGCCCCUUAUGACCUGGGCUACACACGUGCUACAAUGGGCAGAACAAAGGGCAGCGAAGCCGCGAGGCUAAGCCAAUCCACAAAUCUGUUCUCAGUUCGGAUCG